rnacentral:rRNA from 1 species
UGUAGUCAUAUGCUUGUCUCAAAGAUUAAGCCAUGCAUGUCUAAGUAUAAGCAACUUUGUACUGUGAAACUGCGAAUGGCUCAUUAAAUCAGUUAUAGUUUAUUUGAUGGUUUUUGCUACAUGGAUAACUGUGGUAAUUCUAGAGCUAAUACAUGCAUUCAAGCCCCGACUUCUGGAAGGGGUGUAUUUAUUAGAUAAAAAUCAACUUUGUUGGUGAAUCAUAAUAACUUCUCGGACCGCAUGGCCUUGUGCUGGCGGUGCUUCAUUCAAAUAUCUGCCCUAUCAACUGUCGAUGGUAGGAUAGAGGCCUACCAUGGUUGCAACGGGUAACGGGGAAUAAGGGUUCGAUUCCGGAGAGGGAGCCUGAGAAACGGCUACCACAUCCAAGGAAGGCAGCAGGCGCGCAAAUUACCCAAUCCCGACACGGGGAGGUAGUGACAAUAUGUAACAAUAUACGGCCUUAUACGUCGUAUAAUUGGAAUGAGUACAAUUUAAAUCCCUUAACGAGGAACAAUUGGAGGGCAAGUCUGGUGCCAGCAGCCGCGGUAAUUCCAGCUCCAAUAGCGUAUAUUAAAGUUGUUGCAGUUAAAAAGCUCGUAGUUGGACCUUGGACCUGGACAGGCGGUCCGCCUCACGGCGUGUACUGUCUUGCUGGGUCUUUCCUCUUGGUGAUCUGUUGUUUCGGCAGCAGGGAACCAGGACUUUUACUUUGAAAAAAUUAGAGUGUUCAAAGCAGGCUCGACGCCGGAAUAUAUUAGCAUGGAAUAAUAAAAUAGGACGUGCGGUUCUAUUUUGUUGGUUUUGGAAUCGCCGUAAUGAUUAUAGGGACAGUCGGGGGCAUUAGUACUCACAUGCUAGAGGUGAAAUUCUUGGAUUUUGUGAAGACUAAACUUUCUGCGAAAGCA